UGGCUAUGAAGAAACCCAAACUAUCUGCCGGAGAUGGAUCCGUCCAUCGCUGACGGCGACAGAAACCCUCUAAGAAGUUCCGAGCCG
rfam:Musa acuminata subsp. malaccensis Doubled-haploid Pahang (DH-Pahang) genomic chromosome, chr5